rnacentral:rRNA from 1 species
UACGUAGGGUGCGAGCGUUGUCCGGAAUUACUGGGCGUAAAGAGCUCGUAGGCGGUUUGUCGCGUCGUCCGUGAAAAACUUGGGGCUCAACCCCAAGCUUGCGGGCGAUACGGGCAGACUUGAGUACUGCAGGGGGAGACUGGAAUUCCUGGUGUAGCGGUGAAAUGCGCAGAUAUCAGGAGGAACACCGGUGGCGAAGGCGGUCUCUGGCAGUAACUGACGCUGAGGAGCGAAGCGUGGGUAGCAAACAGG